rnacentral:rRNA from 1 species
GAUGAACGCUGGCGGCGUGCCUAAUACAUGCAAGUCGAGCGAACAGACGAGGAGCUUGCUCCUCUGACGUUAGCGGCGGACGGGUGAGUAACACGUGGAUAACCUACCUAUAAGACUGGGAUAACUUCGGGAAACCGGAGCUAAUACCGGAUAACAUGUUGAACCGCAUGGUUCAACAGUGAAAGACGGUCUUGCUGUCACUUAUAGAUGGAUCCGCGCCGCAUUAGCUAGUUGGUAAGGUAACGGCUUACCAAGGCAACGAUGCGUAGCCGACCUGAGGGGGUGAUCGGCCACACUGGAACUGAGACACGGUCCAGACUCCUACGGGAGGCAGCAGUAGGGAAUCUUCCGCAAUGGGCGAAAGCCUGACGGAGCAACGCCGCGUGAGUGAUGAAGGUCUUCGGAUCGUAAAACUCUGUUAUUAGGGAAGAACAAAUGUGUAAGUAACUAUGCACGUCUUGACGGUACCUAAUCAGAAAGCCACGGCUAACUACGUG